CAAAGGGAAGCAGCCCUGUGAAGGUGAGCAAAUCCCAAAAAUAACGUCCCAGUUCGGAUUGUAGUCUGCAACCCGACUACAUGAAGCUGGAAUCGCUAGUAAUCGCGGAUCAGAAUGCCGCGGUGAAUACGUUCCCGGGUCUUGUACACACCGCCCGUCACACCAUGGGAGUCGGAAAUGCCCGAAGCCGGUGACUCAACCUUUAAGGAGAGAGCCGUCGAAGGCAGGUCUGAUAACUGGGGUGAAGUCGUAACAAGGUACC
rnacentral:rRNA from 1 species